GCUACCAUGUCUGUCACUCUAAGAUAGGUCAACUCUUAUAAGCCAUUAACGAGUAAGAGGCAGGAUCAACUGUGUGACUGAGAGGGCUCCAUGAUGGCGGAAUUACGUCCGCAGCCUGCGCGCUGACGCCUUCCCAUUGGUCACAGUGGGGAUGAUGACAAUUCUGUUUCCUCGCGUUGUCAUUGGUGAGCGAAGGUUCCCCCGUUUCUGCUGUGGGAUCGGCUAGCAGCGAAUGCGCGGGAACGGGUGGAUCCCAUCUCUGUUUAGCAGUCCUUCUUCUUCCUGGAAAAGCAUCCUGUGGUCAAGGAAGCUGAAGCUUUCCUGGUAACAUCAUCCUCGCAGCCAGCCAUUCACCUCCAGGAUGCAUCUAUCUCUGCCUGGACCCCUACUAGGGUGACCAGACAGCAAGUGUGAAAAAUCAGGACGGAGACUAACAUGGCUGCUACUCUGAAACCUGUCAGAAGCAAAGGAGAACACAUUUAGUGAGCAGAUGAGGAAGGCUGCUCCAGCCAGCGUAGAAGGAAGCCCUCGCCCGCCCACUCUCAGUUAGGAGGUGGCUGGUGUGAGUAA